AAUAUAUGACAUAUAGGACAUAAAUUAUUACGUGUGUAUGCGUAAUUGUAAUUAUUAGUAAAUUUUAAUUGUUUUAUUAAAAAGUAAUUGACAUUUAGUGGGUAAAAUUCAAAAAAUUUAAAUAAUAAUAAUAAAAAUAUAAAAUGUUUAUAUGCUUGACGUAAAAAUGUCUAAUUUAAAUUUAAAAUCACGUAAAUAUUACCAAUGGUUAUUUAUAUUACUGAUAAUAAUAGACCUAGCAGCUGGAGAUGACAUAAAACCAGGACUAAAUGUCACAAUUACAACAGCAGCAUCAGCGACGUCAUCAUCAUCAUCAUCACCGACUGCUACAACUGCGGACUUGGAACCGUUGAAAAAAAUUUUAAGUACCAAUGUGACAGAUGGUGUCAGAAGUGACAAAGUCUCCAAUGUCAGUGUGACAAGUGAUAAAGAUAAAAAUGUCCAGGUCCAGUCAUCAACGAGUACCAUGACCCCGACAGUGACACUGCGGUCUACUGAAGCUAGACCUGAUCAGACAGCAGUAAAUGUCACAACACCAGCAGCUGGGUCUGGAGGAACCAACAUCACGAACGAGACCAGCACGACACCCAAGAUUGAUGUGGUGCCAGUGAAUAUAACAAACAUCACAUCAACAACAGCAGCUACGUCUACUGAAGCAGUUCUACCAGCGAAAGAGUCUGCAGAAGAUGAACACAACAGUUCAAUGUCAAUAUUCUUCGUGCUGUGUGUCCUAGCACUGGGUAUUCUUCUAAUUCACUUGAUGUUGCAGACAAACUUCCAGUACCUGCCCGAGUCAGUGGUGAUAGUCUUCCUCGGAGCCGCUAUCGGUAUGUUUAUAAACUUCAUGUCGCACAAGGACAUCGCUAACUGGAAGAAAGAAGAAGCAUUUUCACCAACAGCAUUUUUUCUUGUUCUUUUACCGCCGAUUAUUUUUGAAUCCGGUUACAAUUUGCACAAAGGUAAUUUUUUUCAAAACAUCGGCAGUAUCCUCGUGUUUGCAAUAUUUGGUACCGCAAUUUCCGCGUUUGUAAUUGGAGCUGGUAUUUAUUUGCUGGGAUUAGCACAAGUUGCCUACAAGUUGAGUUUCGUCGAGAGUUUCGCUUUCGGAUCAUUGAUAUCUGCAGUUGAUCCGGUAGCAACAGUUGCUAUUUUUCAUGCACUGGACGUUGAUCCAGUUCUCAACAUGUUGGUAUUUGGCGAAUCAAUUUUGAAUGACGCAAUUGCUAUUGUUCUGACGACGUCAGUACUGGAAUCAAAUAACGGAGCGACAACUGGCGAAUCAAUAGUACUUGGAUUGAACAGAUUUUGCUUGAUGUUCUUCGCAUCUGCUGGAAUUGGCGUUGUCUUUGCGCUGAUAAGUGCGCUGCUGCUUAAACACGUCGACUUACGAAAAAAUCCAUCACUGGAAUUUGGUAUCAUGCUGGUGUUUACCUACGCCCCGUAUGUUCUAGCAGAAGGCAUACAGUUGUCUGGUAUCAUGGCUAUUUUGUUCAACGGCAUCGUCAUGUCGCACUACACACAUUUCAAUCUAUCGACUGUUACGCAAAUAACAAUGCAGCAGACCAUGAGAACACUGGCGUUCAUUGCUGAGACUUGUGUGUUUGCGUACCUGGGACUCGCGUUAUUCAGCUUCCGGCAUCGCGUCGAACCGGCUCUGGUCACUUGGUCACUUAUUUUGUGUCUCAUCGGCCGGGCAGCUAAUAUAUUUCCGCUGGCCUUGCUGGUCAAUCGGUUCAGGGAGCAUCAAAUCACCAAGAAGAUGAUGUUCAUCAUGUGGUUCAGUGGACUGCGUGGUGCUAUUUCUUACGCACUUUCUCUUCAUCUUAAUUUCAGUGACGAAACUCGUCACGUUAUCAUCACAACGACACUAAUUAUUGUUUUGUUCACGACAUUAAUUUUUGGCGGGUCUACGAUGCCGCUUUUGAAGUUUUUACGAGCGGAAAAAAAACCAACCACUGGAAGUAUUGGCGGUGGGAGAAGAAAAAAACGUGAUAAAGAAAUUUCAUUGAGUAAAACGAGAGAAUGGGGACAAACAAUCGACUCGGAGCAUCUAUCAGAAUUAACAGAAGAAGAGAUGGACGUGUCGUUCCGACAAUCAAGAAUCGGUGGAUUCGCACGCUGGGAUUUAAAAUUAUUCAUCCCCUUCUUCACCCGACGAUUCACGCAGCAGGAACUCAAGGACUGCAAGUCGCAGAUGACGGACCUGACGAACCAGUGGUACCAGGCGAUAAGAAUAAGCCCUGUCGAGUCCGAUGAGGACGACGAAACAACGGCAUCGACUGCACAAUUGCACAACUUGAGCUCGGCGAAUAAAUCCGACGGAAAUGCCAGGAGUGAAAGCCAGUGUAUUACCGCGGGAGGAAAAAAAGGACGUCAAAAUCGACACGGGUCUAUAUUGAGUAUUUAAAUAAAUAUAUCAAGGGUGUGCCAAGUUUUUAAAAGCUAUUGUGAUGCUUACUAAAUUACGAGGAUUUGUCAGAAUAACUGAUUGUCAAUCCGGAAAAAAAUAUUAAUUAUCGCACUGUAAUAAAUUAAUAAGAUAAUUUUAUUUUAUGAUAUCAUAAAAUAUUUUUGCUAAUUAUUAUUGUAAAUAAUGAUAAAUUUUAAGUCAUUUUUAUUUAUAUAUUGUGCGGCAGGCCGUCUACACAUUCAUCAAUAUUUAAUAGCGUCCAUAAUAUGUGAUCAAUAUAAUUACUUUUAUUAUAAUUAUUAUCGUUUAUUUAUAAACAUCGUGCAGUUUUACUGCGUGCAAUCCGUCACCAAAUGAGGCGCGGUUUUAAAAUCAAAUUUUAAAUUUAAAAAACCAAAAGCGCGCGAACGAAAAUUAUUAUUUAUAACAACUGUCACUUGAAAAUUAAUUAUCAUUAAAUUUUUCAAAAAUAUAAAAGUACUCAGAUAAAAAAAAAAUUUUGAAUUUUUUAAUCCGAUUUUAAAAACGAGCCUCAAUAAAUAAAAUAAAAAUGCACAAUUAAAUUAAUUAAUUAGUACAUUUGUAGACUGAACGGCCUCAGGUUUUAAUUAUAAAAAAUAAUUAUUAUUUAUAUUUAAUUAAUUAAAUUUUAUUUAUUAUUUACGUACAAAAAAAAGGUUUUAAUAAAUAAUUUAUAAUUAUCACUAACAUUUAAACAAAACUAACACUGUAUAUUGACAAUAAAGUCAUUUAUAUUAAAUAAAGUGUACUUACUUAAAUUUUAUUAUUAUAAAUUAAAUAUAUCAGGGUUAAUUAUAACAACAUAAUAAAUUAAUAACUUUUUAAAUUAUUAUUUAUUUCGUUAAUUAUUUUAUCUUCGGGUUUGCUGGUUGCAAGGAAGAAUUCUACGUAAAAGGUUUUUUUUUUAUUAAUUAUCAAUAUCAAUAUCAUUAUUAUUUUUUUUGUUUUCUUUUUUAUUGUAAUGGAUUAAUAAUUAAAUGUCCAUUAGACAGAUUCAAAAAACCGACUAUUUUUUUUUUCAAAAAUUAUUCGAUGACGAAAAAAAAUUCUGUUAAAGUUUAAACUCUUGAUAUUUAAAUUACCCGCGUAAUCGCGAUUUUCGAUUUCUCAUUUAAAUAACGGGAAAUUUUUUUGGAGUCGAAUUUUAUCGGUCAGCGAAUGAGUGUAGCGGAAAAAUCAAUAGAUACUUUUUGUUGGAAAUUGAACGCUCUAUAAAAAAGGUCUCUUAUCAUUUUUUGAUAAAUUUAAUUUUUCAAAAGUUAUUGGAUGUCUAUAUUGGGUUCAUAGUAAAUUUGAGUAUUUUCUGACUUUUUUGGCGAAAGUAUCAGGUAUCAGAUUUAUUACAAAAUGUUAUGAGACAUUUUUUGUAGAUCUUUUAAUUUCCUACAAAUUAUCUAGAACAAAGUUUUCAAAAUUCCUGAAAACUCUUUAGUUAUCUGCAUUUAAAUGUCAACUCGUUCAAAGAAAUCAUAUCCGGCAGAUUUUUAUUACUUUUAAAUGCAAACAACAACUGAAGAACUUUCAAAAAUUUUGGAAACUUUAUUCUAGAUAAUUUGUAGGAAAUUAAAUGGUCUACAAAAAAUGUCCUAUGAUAUUUUACCAUAAGUCUGAUAGUUUCGCCGGAAGUCAGGAAAUACUAAAAUUUACUAUGAAUUCAACUAUGAACUUAAAUAACUUUUGAAAAAUUAAAUUUAUCAAAAAAUAAUAAGAGAACUUUUUUGUAGAGCAUUCGAUUUCCAACAAAAAUGUCCAUUGAUUUUCCGAUCCACUGAUUCGCUGAGUGAUAAAAUUCUACUUAAAAAAAGAAUUUUCCCGUUAUUUAAAUGGGAAAUCAAAAAUUGCGAUUACGCGGGUAAUUUAAAUGUUAAAAAAUAGUCGAUUUAUUUGAAUGUCUAAUGUCCAUAUUUACUCUUAAUUGGGCACAUGUGGGGAAUAGGCAGCAUCUACAAAACACAUCAACGAUUAUCGUUUUAAUCACUCACGUCAUUUAUUCCACUAUAUAAUUACUAACCUUUUUAUUUAAUUAAUUUUAAUUAAUAAUUCAUCAUUUAUUUUUUUUUACUUCAUUUAUUAAUAAUUAUCCUCCUAACUAGAGCAAGUUACUAAAUUACUUAAAUUUUUCAAAAUACAAAAAAAAUAUAAUUAAUUAAAUUUUGCUCUAGUAGUUUUUAAAUUUAAAAAUUUAAUUAUCCCCGUAACGACAAGUUGUUGAGUUUCUAAUAAACGUGAUCAGGGAAAUCUAUUGGAAAUAAAAAUUACAAUUAUAUUUUACCAUUUAAAUUUUAAUUAAUUAAUUAGUCAAUCAAUUAAUUAAUUAAUAUAUAUAUUUAUAUAUAAUAAAUCAAUGUAACUUUGCUGUUCUUCACUGCACUUAAUUGCUAUCAAUGCAAGUUAGCAAAGCAAUUACGAAUUUAAUUUUUUUUUCUAUUGUACAUCAGUCAAGAAGCAGCAUCCGAUGCGUCGGCAUCUCAAGUAAUUGUUCAUUAAUUAUUAAUUAUUAAUAACAUGAUAUUGAAAUAAAUCUCAAUUAGUUUUACAAUAAUUAUUAUUACUAUUAUCAUUAUUAAUUAUAAAGACAAUCUACAGUACUGAGAUUUAUUUCACCUGACAGGGAAAUUCUUAGUUUAAAACGUAAAAAAAUUAAACAAUAAAUAAAACAUUAAAAAAAUUUUAAGGGAGUAAGAAGUCUGAGAUACAAAAAAUGGAGCAUAUUUUUGUCAUUUUUUUUUUUCAGAGCAUCUUCGCUAUUAAAAUUCUUAAAAUUUGUGACAUUAUUAAGCAUCACUCCAAGAAUAUUCUGCUAAAUUUUCAUAAAAAAAUAUUGAAAAAUAAGCCAAUGGUAGAGGGGAGAGACGAGUCACCUUAAAAAAAGUCUCUAUGCCGUAGGCAGGAUAACUCAUGGCUGCCUUAUCUGAAUUCAGAAAAACCAAAAAGAUUUCUUUAGUACACAAAUUUAUCUUAGAUUUGAACGAAGGAUUUUUUUUUCAAUAUCUACUUAUUGUUUAAUUAAACAAAAGCAAAAACUUUUGGCACAAAUCAGAGUUUUUUGAUUGCACCUUUACCAAAAAUUCAAAAAUGAAUAUUUAGUUUAUUCCUUCGUUCAAAUCCAAGAUAAACUUAUGUACUAAAGAAAUCUUUUUGGUUUUUUGAUUUCAGAUGAGACAGUCAUGAGUUAUCCUGCCUGCGGCAUGGAAACUUUUUUUGGAGGUGACUCGUCUCUCCCCACUACCACUGGCUUAUUUUUCCAUAUUUUUUAAUGAAAAUCUAGCAGAAUAUUCUUGGAAUGAUGCUUAAUAAUGUCACAAAUUUUUGAAUUUUAAUGACGAAGGUACGAAAAAAAAAAUUCACAAAAAUAUGAUCUCUUUUUUGUAUCUCAGACUCCUUUCUCCCAUUAAUGGACGAAUUUAGAGCAGCAAUUCGCCUUAAUUAAUUUUUAAGUCAAUCGGAUCUAUUUACAAUCGAUAUUGCUUUUAUUUAUUUAAUUAUUAAUUAUAAAGUUUUAAAAAAUGCGGCACUUGUGAUAAAUUUGAAAAUUUUAUAAUUAAUGUCAUUAAUAAAUAAAAUAUAUAAUUUAGUAAUUGUAAAAAAAUUAUUAUUCAAUGCCAGUUAUAUAAAAAUUUUGAUUAUCCGAUCGACUUAAUCAAUUAUUUUUAUUAUUAUCAUUAAUCAUUAAUUGUUUUUUUUUUUUACCUGAUUAUUAAAUAAUGCAAGACGCGAUAAAAUUACACUACUUAAUUAUACUGUACAGCAAUGAUUUUAAAUUGAUGAUACAUUUAUAAUAUAUAUAUUUAUAUAUAAUUAAUUAAUUAAUCAAUUAAUUAAUAAUAAUAAUUUCAAAUAUUUAAAACAAGAAGACAAUAAUUGGCGGGUCUUGGUCUUAUCGGCAAGACAUGGAGACAAAAAAAAAACAAUUACAGUAAAACUAUUUAAUUAAUAAUAAAAAAAAAUUAAUUAUUAUUAUUAAUUAUUUAUUAAUUAAUAAAUUACGAAUCUCGUUCAAAAUAAAU